rnacentral:pre_miRNA from 1 species
AAAGUACUCCCUCCGUCCCAAAAUUCUUGUCUUAGAUUUGUCUAGAUACGGAUGUAUCAAGUCACAUUUUAGUAUUAGAUACAUCUGUAUCUAGAAAAAUCUAAGACAAGAAUUUUGGGACAGAGGGAGUAGUUG